ACUAAGAACUGUGUGAGCAUGAGAUACUUAUGAAUUCACACAAAAACCAUCAGGAAACUAUGCUCUCGGUCCCUUAAUCUGCUGAACAUUAGAACAGAACAAAACGAGAGGGAUGUCUUCUUUCAUUUCCUCAGGAGAGGAAACUGAGGCCUGAGGAGAAGUGCUUUACCCAAAUUGUCAGCUCAUGACAGGUAAAGGUGAGACCAGAACCCACAUGGCUGGAAUCCUUGUUUGGUGUUCUUUCCACAACACAUAAAAGACCUUGUUGUCAUUCUGAUUACUGCUAAUAACCCAUUCAUUUAGCCCACUCAGAGCCAGACAUUCUCAAGAGAUAUGAAAGUGAACCUGUUGUAAGUCCAGCCCUCAAAGAACUUGUAGCCAGGUGGGAUGACAAAGAAAUAAGUGGAAACUGCAGUGGAGUGUCUAGCAGUGCAUGGCACUGACUGGGGCUUGAAUAGGCAAAGGAUAAGGGCUGGGUUAAUUAUCAUUUCUCUUUUCCUGGUUUCUACUCCUUUCGCCAUGAGAUAUUAUGCCUGAAGAUCUUCAGCAGCUCCACAUGAGGCAUUAGGAACUCUUUACUGAUGCAGACAAUAGACAAACAUCCAUUUUGCAUCUUACCAGAGACAUGAGGAAUUUUAAAUGUCCUCCCACUGAGCAGCAAAUCAUAUACCAUCCAGAGUUCUGAAGCGAGCAGCGUGAGUUUCCCAGGGCUUUGCAGAAGACAUAUGGAAUUGGUAUUACUUCCUUCAUGAGCUGCCAGCCCAAAUGCAUGGACCAUUUCUUUCUCAGAAAGGAGACAUCUGGUCCAAGACCUCCUCUUACUCUCUACUCCAAUCACUGCAUUUCUCUCAUUCAAAUGGAAGUCACAAGAGAAAAGCAGCCAGUAGAUGGAAAACAAAAUAAUAAUUGAACACAGUUAUACGAUGCUUACUGCCUGCCAGGCUCUGUUUUAAGCAUCUUCUUUAUUUAACUUCACUUAAACGCUAUAAGGUAGGUACUGUUAUUAUUUCCAUUUUACAGAGGAGGAAACCAAUGCAAAGAGAAGCUAAUAAG
rnacentral:lncRNA from 1 species